UGGGGAAUUUUGGACAAUGGGCGAAAGCCUGAUCCAGCAAUGCCGCGUGUGUGAAGAAGGCCUUCGGGUUGUAAAGCACUUUUGUCCGGAAAGAAAUCCUUGGCUCUAAUACAGUCGGGGGAUGACGGUACCGGAAGAAUAAGCACCGGCUAACUACGUGCCAGCAGCCGCGGUAAUACGUAGGGUGCAAGCGUUAAUCGGAAUUACUGGGCGUAAAGCGUGCGCAGGCGGUUUGCUAAGACCGAUGUGAAAUCCCCGGGCUCAACCUGGGAACUGCAUUGGUGACUGGCAGGCUAGAGUAUGGCAGAGGGGGGUAGAAUUCCACGUGUAGCAGUGAAAUGCGUAGAGAUGUGGAGGAAUACCGAUGGCGAAGGCAGCCCCCUGGGCCAAUACUGACGCUCAUGCACGAAAGCGUGGGGAGCAAAACAGGAUUAGAUACCCUGGUAGUCCACGCCCUAAACGAUGUCAACUAGUUGUUGGGGAUUCAUUUCCUUAGUAACGUAGCUAACGCGUGAAGUUGACCGCUGGGGAGUACGGUCGCAAGAUUAAAACUCAAAUGGAAUUGACGGGGUCAUAGCUGUUUCCU
rnacentral:rRNA from 1 species